GGGCUCACACAAGCGGUGGAGCAUGUGGCUUAAUUCGAGGCAACGCGAAGAACCUUAUCCUGGGUUUGACAUGUACGGAUGGCUCGCCUGAAAGGGAUGAGUCUGCCUUCGGGUGAAACGUACACAGGUGCUGCAUGGCUGUCGUCAGCUCGUGUCGUGAGAUGUAGGGUUAAGUCCCGCAACGAGCGCAACCCUUAUUUUUAGUUGCCUUUUAUGGAACUCUAGAAAGACUGCUGGUUAUAAACCGGAGGAAGGCGGGGAUGACGUCAAGUCAGCAUGCCCCUUACACCCUGGGCUACACACGUGCUACAUUGGGCGAGACAAUGAGACGCAAACCUGCGAAGGCUAGCUAAUCUAUAAACUCGUUCUAAGUUCGGAUUGUAGGCUGCAACUCGCCUGCAUGAAGGUGGAAUCGCUAGUAA
rnacentral:rRNA from 1 species